rnacentral:rRNA from 1 species
CAAGAGAGCUUGCUCUCUGGGUGACGAGCGGCGGACGGGUGAGUAAUGUCUGGGAAACUGCCUGAUGGAGGGGGAUAACUACUGGAAACGGUAGCUAAUACCGCAUAACGUCUUCGGACCAAAGUGGGGGACCUUCGGGCCUCACGCCAUCAGAUGUGCCCAGAUGGGAUUAGCUAGUAGGUGGGGUAAUGGCUCACCUAGGCGACGAUCCCUAGCUGGUCUGAGAGGAUGACCAGCCACACUGGAACUGAGACACGGUCCAGACUCCUACGGGAGGCAGCAGUGGGGAAUAUUGCACAAUGGGCGCAAGCCUGAUGCAGCCAUGCCGCGUGUGUGAAGAAGGCCUUCGGGUUGUAAAGCACUUUCAGCGAGGAGGAAGGGUGGUGUGUUAAUAGCACAUCACAUUGACGUUACUCGCAGAAGAAGCACCGGCUAACUCCGUGCCAGCAGCCGCGGUAAUACGGAGGGUGCAAGCGUUAAUCGGAAUUACUGGGCGUAAAGCGCACGCAGGCGGUUUGUUAAGUCAGAUGUGAAAUCCCCGCGCUUAACGUGGGAACUGCAUUUGAAACUGGCAAGCUAGAGUCUUGUAGAGGGGGGUAGAAUUCCAGGUGUAGCGGUGAAAUGCGUAGAGAUCUGGAGGAAUACCGGUGGCGAA